ACGGUCCUAAGGUAGCGAAAUUCCUUGUCGGGUAAGUUCCGACCUGCACGAAUGGCGUAACGAUGGCGGCGCUGUCUCCACCCGAGACUCAGUGAAAUUGAAAUCGCUGUGAAGAUGCAGUGUAUCCGCGGCUAGACGGAAAGACCCCGUGAACCUUUACUAUAGCUUUGCACUGGACUUUGAAUUUGCUUGUGUAGGAUAGGUGGGAGGCUUUGAAGCGUGGACGCCAGUCUGCGUGGAGCCAACCUUGAAAUACCACCCUGGCAACUUUGAGGUUCUAACUCAGGUCCGUUAUCCGGAUCGAGGACAGUGUAUGGUGGGUAGUUUGACUGGGGCGGUCUCCUCCUAAAGAGUAACGGAGGAGUACGAAGGUGCGCUCAGACCGGUCGGAAAUCGGUCGUAGAGUAUAAAGGCAAAAGCGCGCUUGACUGCGAGACAGACACGUCGAGCAGGUACGAAAGUAGGUCUUAGUGAUCCGGUGGUUCUGUAUGGAAGGGCCAUCGCUCAACGGAUAAAAGGUACUCCGGGGAUAACAGGCUGAUACCGCCCAAGAGUUCAUAUCGACGGCGGUGUUUGGCACCUCGAUGUCGGCUCAUCACAUCCUGGGGCUGAAGUAGGUCCCAAGGGUAUGGCUGUUCGCCAUUUAAAGUGGUACGCGAGCUGGGUUUAGAACGUCGUGAGACAGUUCGGUCCCUAUCUGCCGUGGACGUUGGAGAUUUGAGAGGGGCUGCUCCUAGUACGAGAGGACCGGAGUGGACGAACCUCUGGUGUUCCGGUUGUCACGCCAGUGGCAUUGCCGGGUAGCUAUGUUCGGAAGAGAUAACCGCUGAAAGCAUCUAAGCGGGAAACUAGCCUCAAGAUGAGAUCUCACUGGAACCUUGAGUUCCCUGAAGGGCCGUCGAAGACUACGACGUUGAUAGGUUGGGUGUGUAAGCGCUGUGAGGCGUUGAGCUAACCAAUACUAAUUGCCCGUGAGGCUUGACCAU
rnacentral:rRNA from 1 species